rnacentral:rRNA from 1 species
CCUACGGGAGGCAGCAGUGAGGAAUAUUGGUCAAUGGGCGUAAGCCUGAACCAGCCAAGUCGCGUGAGGGAUGAAGGUUCUAUGGAUCGUAAACCUCUUUUAUAAGGGAAUAAAGUGUGGGACGUGUCCUAUUUUGUAUGUACCUUAUGAAUAAGGAUCGGCUAACUCCGUGCCAGCAGCCGCGGUAAUACGGAGGAUCCGAGCGUUAUCCGGAUUUAUUGGGUUUAAAGGGUGCGUAGGCGGACUUUUCAGUCAGCGGUGAAAGUCUGUGGGUCAACCAUAGAAUUGCAGUUGAAACUGGGAGUCUUGAGUAUUGUAGAGGCAGGCGGAAUGCGUGGGGUAGCGGUGAAAUGCUUAGAUAUCACGAAGAACCCCGAUUGCGAAGGCAGCUUACCAGACCAUGACUGACGCUGAUGCACGAAAGUGUGGGGAUCAAACAGGAUUAGAUACCCUUGUAGUC